ACAGCAAGUCGCGGUAUAUGCACUGACGCUGCCCGGUGCGGAAGGUUAAGRAGGAUCCGUCAACCUUUUAGGUGAAGCGGUGAAUUCAAGCCCGGUAAACGGCAGGUGGUAACUAUAACCAUCCUAAGGUAGCGAAAUUCCUUGUCGGGUAAGUUCCGACCUGCACGAAUGGCGUAACGACUUCCCCACUGUCUCGACCAGGAGCUCGGCGAAAUUGCAGUACGAGUAAAGAUGCUCGUUAAGCGCAGAAGGACGAAAAGACCCCGGGACCUUUACUAUACCUUGGUAUUGGCAUUCGGUGUGGAUUGUGUAGCAUAGGCGGGAGACUACGAUAUCCAGGCGCCAGCCUGGGUGGAGUCGCAAGGUGAAAUACCGCUCUGUUCGCAUUGGAUGUCUCACCACGACCAGUCAUCCUGGUCUGGGACAGUGCCUGGCGGGUAGUUUAACUGGGGCGGUUGCCUCCCAAAGAGUAACGGAGGCGCUCAAAGGUUCCCUCAGCCCGGUUGGCAAUCGGGUGGCGAGUGUAAGUGCACAAGGGAGCUUGACUGCGAGACUGACGGGUCGAGCAGGGACGAAAGUCGGAACUAGUGAUCCGGUGCCGGUGUACGGACGCGGCAUCGCUCAACGGAUAAAAGGUACCCCGGGGAUAACAGGCUGAUCAUUCCCAAGAGUCCAUAUCGACGGAUGGUUUGGCACCUCGAUGUCGGCUCGUCGCAUCCUGGGGCUGGAGCAGGUCCCAAGGGUUCGGCUGUUCGCCGAUUAAAGCGGCACGCGAGCUGGGUUCAGAACGUCGUGAGACAGUUUGGUCUCUAUCCUCUGCGCUCGUUGGAAUGUUGAGGAGGCCUGCCCAUAGUACGAGAGGACCUGGGUGGACGAACCUCUGGUAUGCCGGUUGUCGCGCCAGCGGCACGGCCGGUUGGCCACGUUCGGAAGGGAUAACCGCUGAAAGCAUCUAAGCGGGAAGCCUGCUCCAAGAUAAGCAUUCCAUAGGCCCUCGGGCCUUGAACCCCCCAUGUAGAACACGUGGUCGAUAGGCCGGACGUGGAAGCCCCGCGAGGGGUGGAGCCGACCGGUACUAACGGGGAAAGGCGAAACCUU
rnacentral:ncRNA from 1 species